rnacentral:rRNA from 1 species
AGCGAACGCUGGCGGCAGGCCUAACACAUGCAAGUCGAACGAAGUCUUCGGACUUAGUGGCGGACGGGUGAGUAACACGUGGGAACGUGCCUUUAGGUUCGGAAUAACUCAGGGAAACUUGUGCUAAUACCGAAUGUGCCCUUCGGGGGAAAGAUUUAUCGCCUUUAGAGCGGCCCGCGUCUGAUUAGCUAGUUGGUGAGGUAAAGGCUCACCAAGGCGACGAUCGGUAGCUGGUCUGAGAGGAUGAUCAGCCACAUUGGGACUGAGACACGGCCCAAACUCCUACGGGAGGCAGCAGUGGGGAAUCUUGCGCAAUAGGCGAAAGCCUGACGCAGCCAUGCCGCGUGAAUGAUGAAGGUCUUAGGAUUGUAAAAUUCUUUCACCGGGGACGAUAAUGACGGUACCCGGAGAAGAAGCCCCGGCUAACUUCGUGCCAGCCGCCGCUGUAAGAC